rnacentral:sRNA from 1 species
AUGGAGAAUGAACAAGGGAUUUCGUGCAAAUUAGAAAUGCCUGAAGAAAAGCAAGCUGUUUGGGCCAAAGGUUUGCCUGAAGUACCCAAAGCAAUGUUGUGGCCUGGUAUUUUAGGAGGGUCUGGGGAGAGUGUUUAUGUACAUUCAGAUGAAUCUCUAAUGGAUGAUGGGGAUGACGAGAGACGAAAAGAUGUAGAAAACUUCAUUUUAUUGCAUGACACUGAAUGGGCUGACAAAAUAAGUAGCCAUGCCAGACAAACAAUUGCUGAGAGGAAGUACAAUGAAUCAGACAUAUUGCCAUUAACUUGUGACAUAGUAAAACUGAAAGACUUCCUUCUUCAUGAAAUUGUCAGGCUGAGUGAAUUACUGUUGAAAGACAUAAAUGCUGUCAACUGGAGAAACUUGGCAGUGGUUGUUUUAUGUAGAAUUACGAUAUUUAACAAGCGCCGAGGGGGAGAGACCAGUCAGAUGAAACUAUCGGCUUACGUAAACAGAAAAACUGGAGAAUGGAAGGAUGCUGAAAAUCUGGAAAUAAUAUCCACUUUAUCACCAAUUGAAAAGAAACUGAUGGACAGGCUACAGCUUGUAGAAAUAGUUGGAAAGAAGAACAGAAAAGUCCCUGUUUUGCUAACUAAAGACAUGUGGAAUGCAUUAGACUUGCUUAACAGCAAAAGGAAUGCCAUUGGAGUUCCUCUUCAAAACCCUUUCCUGUUUGCUGCACCAUCUUCCAAGUCUGGGCACUUGAAAUGUUGGGAUUCCCUCAAAUGGAUAACAAACAGAGUGGAUUUAAAGAAUCCUGAACUUAUUACUACAACUAAUAUGAGAAAAUACAUCGCAACAGUUUCACAGAUAGUUGAUCUGGAUUCCAAGAACGAGCUAGAAUGGCUGGCAAACCAUAUGGGGCACACCCUUUCCGUACAUAGGAAGUACUACAGACUCCAAGAACAAACUCUUGAGCUCGCAAAGGUCAGCAAAUUGUUGAUUGCUGCAGAUUGUGGAAUUAUCCAUAGAUAUGCUGGAAAAACUCUGGAUGAUAUCACAUUGGAAGAAAUACAGUUAGAUAAGUCUGAAGAGGAGGAUUGUGAUGAGCAAGACUGUUCUUCAUCAGAGGAGUGUCAGGAGAGGACCCCCCCAAAAAUAAAGGACAGUAAACAAAAGCAGAAGGAACAAAAGCAAAGCGAGAAAGAUACGGAAUAUGUUUGCAGUAAUGCAAAGAAAUGUACCAGAAGGCCAUGGAAAGAGGAAGAUAAACAAGCAUUAAGAACAUCAUUUCAUCAACAUUUCACACUAUGUUGUCCUCCAAUUCCAUCAUUUGAUAAGUACAAAAGACAUGAACAGUCUAGCGAAGAAAAUGAGAGAGGGAAAGAGGUUUCCCCAUAG